CCUCCAUCUGACCCCCCACUAACAACCCCUGUGGGAACCCUGUGGAAGUUUCACACUUCCACAACUUCCCUCCACUCCUUUUAUUUCAGCUAAACUGGACCAGUUUAUAUUUCUUUAAAGAGGCCUGCAUUUUCCUUCUUCCACCAUUUUUUUUUUUUAGUACAGUGGUGCAAUCUCAGCUCACCGCAACCUCCACCUCCCAGGUGCAAGCAAAUCUCCUGCCUCAGCUUCCCGAGUAGCUGGGAUUACAGGCAUGCACCACCAUGCCUGUCUAAUUUUUUGUAUUUAGUAGAGACAAGGUAUCACCAUGUUGGUCGGGCUGGUCUCGAACUCCUGACUUCAGGUGAUCCGCCUGCCUCAGCCCCCCAAAGUGCUGGGUUACAGGCGUAGCCCCCAUGCCCAACCUCCUUCCUCCACCUUUGCAUGGCUCUCCCUUCUCCCUGAAAUAACCUCCCAGCCAUCUUCACCUGUCAGAAUCCCAUGCUCUCUUCAUGAACCAUCACAAAUCUCACUUCCUCCCAGUACUAUUUUAACAGGAAUUCUUUCUUUGGUUCCCCAUAGGUCUAUGCCUCUUUUGUGGUACUUCCCAGUACUUUAUAGUUCUCUAAGUAAGACCUCACUCCCCCAGUCUGUGAUAAGCUUCUGAGUGCAGGAGCCGUCUUGUCACAGUGCCGGGUGCACGGGAAGAGGAUGCGGCAUGAAAGACAAGUGGAAGAAAAGAAAAUAGAAAAUUCUUCAGGCUAAGGGAAUAAAAGAUCCUGGUGCAGCUUAGCUGAGCCCUCCACUUCAGUACUUCUGCAGGCUGCAAUCGAGGUGUCAGCUGAGCCGGAGUCGUCUCAAGGCUCAACUGGGGACCCAACGCCAAGAUCACUCAAGCAGCUGCUGCAGUAUUCAGUGGACCCUUGGACUCAAGGACCUGAUGCCCGUCACUGCCUAUGCCCUCUGUUCCUCAGCACGUUGGCCUUUCCCUGGGGCAGCCCCCAACAUGGCAGCUGCUUCAUCAGAACAAAUAAGAAAGAAGUCUUGAAGAGUGCGAGCAGUAGGGGAGUCCCAGUUUUGUAGAGUCUAACCUCAAAAGUGACAUUCCUCCACUUUUACCAUAUUGUAUUCAUUAGAAGCAAGUGGCCAGGUCCAGCCUCCACUCAGGGGAGGGGAUUACACAAAGAUGUGUGGUAGGCAUACCACAUACUGGAACAUUUAUAGCAUCUUCUCAAUAACAAAAGGUAUUUUCUCAAGUUAACUGUCUGAUGUGGAAACUUUCUAAGUCUGUUAGUGAGUGCGCACGCCCAUUUCUCACGAGCAACAGCCCCUUCGUCCCCCACCUCCACCAGGCUUUAGUGGGAAGUCCCCGCU
rnacentral:lncRNA from 13 species